UACGGAGGGUGCAAGCGUUAUCCGGAAUUACUGGGUUUAAAGGGUGCGUAGGCGGCCAGAUAAGUCAGAGGUGAAAGUCUAUGGCUCAACGGGAGGAUUGCCUUUGAUACUGUAUGGCUUGAAUCAGGUUGAGGUUAGCAGAAUGUGGCAUGUAGCGGUGAAAUGCAUAGAUAUGCCAUAGAACAUCGAUUGCGAAGGCAGCUGGCUGGGUCUGUAUUGACGCUGAGGCACGAAAGCGUGGGGAGCGAACAGG
rnacentral:rRNA from 1 species